rnacentral:rRNA from 1 species
UACGUAGGUGGCAAGCGUUACUCGGAAUCACUAGGCGUAAAGCGCAGGUAGGCGGCUCGGCAAGUCUUUUGUGAAAGCUCCCGGCUCAACUGGGAGAGGCCAAGGGAAACUGCCGGGCUUGAGUGUGGUAGGGGUAGCUGGAAUUCCCGGUGUAGCGGUGAAAUGCGUAGAGAUCGGGAGGAAUACCUAUGGCGAAAGCAGGCUACUGGGCCAUCACUGACGCUGAGCUGCGAAAGCUAGGGGAGCAAAC